rnacentral:rRNA from 1 species
UGGGGAAUAUUGCACAAUGGGCGCAAGCCUGAUGCAGCCAUGCCGCGUGUGUGAAGAAGGCCUUCGGGUUGUAAAGCACUUUCAGCGAGGAGGAAGGGUAGUGUGUUAAUAGCACAUUGCAUUGACGUUACUCGCAGAAGAAGCACCGGCUAACUCCGUGCCAGCAGCCGCGGUAAUACGGAGGGUGCAAGCGUUAAUCGGAAUUAAUGGGCGUAAAGCGCACGCAGGCGGUUUGUUAAGUCAGAUGUGAAAUCCCCGCGCUUAACGUGGGAACUGCAUUUGAAACUGGCAAGCUAGAGUCUUGUAGAGGGGGGUAGAAUUCCAGGUGUAGCGGUGAAAUGCGUAGAGAUCUGGAGGAAUACCGGUGGCGAAGGCGGCCCCCUGGACAAAGACUGACGCUCAGGUGCGAAAGCGUGGGGAGCAAACA